UUUUUAUAACACAGUAUUAACUUAAAUUCCCUUUAAAUAUAAGACAAUCCCAUUCAUAUUUUUACAUUUUAUGAUUCUAAAUGCAUGCCAAGUUAUACACUUUACUUAAGAAUUUCAAAUUAACUGACAUGUUUUGAAUUUAUCAUAAACAUUUUUGAUCAGGUAUGGGUAUUUUCCAAUUGUUAAUUUCAGCCAUUUUGGACACAUUUUUUUUAAAAAUUUUAUGUUUUCUUUGUUACCAUCAGAGUAACCUUUCCAUAUAUUUUCAAGGAAAAAAAAUGGUAUUUGUUAGAAAAGAAAAACUUGGGCCAGAAUUUUACAGAGGGAAAUACCCUGAAAUCCCCAAAAAUAAAAAAAUAAGCCGGUCUCAAAAAUAAGCCACCAUUUCACUACUGGCAAAAUGGGCUCAUAAAUUAGCCGCACUAAAAACUAAGCCAUCCAAUUUUUAGCCCACCAUCAUCAGAUGGUGGGCUAUUCAAAUCACUCUGCGUCCGUCCGUCCUUCUGUCCGUUAACAAUUUCUUUUUCGCAUCUCUUCAGAAACUACUGGGGGGAUUUUGACCAAACUUUGUCAGAAUGAUGCAUUGGUACCCUAGUUGUGCCCCUCUGAAAAUCAGACUGGUUCAACAAUUUUUGAGUGAGUUAUGGCCCUUUGUUUAUUUUAAUAAUUUACAUAGAUUUAUAUAGGGAAAUUUUUUGAAAAUCUUCUUAAACAAAACCACAGGGCCUAGGACUUUGAUAUUUGGUAUGUAGCAUCAUCUAGCGGUCAUCUACCAAGAUUGUCCAAAUUCUUCCCUAGGGUCAAAUAUGGCCUCGCCCCGUGGGUCACAUGGUUUAUUUAUAUAGACUUAUAUAGGGAAAAACUUUAAAAAUCUUCUUGUCAUAACCUACAACAUUCAGAUUUGGACCUUAUGUAUAGUUUUAUUGGCUAGAUGAACCUUGACAUGAGUUGACCUUGAUCUUGACCUAGUGACCUACUUUCACAUUUCUGUAGCUACAGCCUUCAAAUUUGGACCACUUGCAUAGGUUUUUAUACCGAAAUAAUCUUUUGUGUUCCAAAUGAAAUUUGACCUUGAUUUUGACCUAGUGACCUACUUUCAUAUUUCUCAAGCUACAGCCUUCAAAUUUGGACCAUGUGCAUAGUUUUGUGUACUGAAAUGAACUUUGACCUUGAGAUUGACCUAGUGACCUACUUUUACAUUUCUGUAGCUACAGCCUUCAGAUUUGGACCACAUGCAUAGGCUUGUGUACAGAAAUAAACUUUGACCUUGACAUUGACCUAGUGACCUACUUUCACAUUUUUGAAGGUACAGGCUUCAAAUUUGGACCACUUGUAUAGUUCUGUGUUCCGAACUGAAAUUUGACUUUGAUUUUGACCUAGUGACCUACUUUCACAAUUCUUAAGUUACAGCUGUCAAAUUUGGAACACAUGCAUAGGCUUGUGUACAGAAAUGAACUUUGACCUUGACAUUGACCUAGUGACCUACUUUCACAUUUUUGAAGCUACAGGCUUCAAAUUUGGACCACUUGCAUACAGUCGACAUCGUACUUGCGACCACCUCUAUUAAGCGAUUUUUUUAUUAAACGACCGGUCAAAAUCCCUCCCGAACGUUUUCAGUACAUAAAUUUAUUCCAUUAAACGGCUUUUUUAUUAAACGACCAGCGACCACUUUAAUGAAGUCCCGACAGGAAAAAUAUUUAAACAAAAGUAUCUAUUAAGCAACCUGGUACCAAAUUCCUGCCGGGUAUUUCUUCACCUGUGUAAUUAGCGAGUACAUUUUACACCUGUCUGGAUGCAAUUAACCUUUGUAACAGUCGAACUGACGAACAAUCAAGUUAUAAUUUUCAGUUUGUGAAAUUUAUAUACAUAUAUGUAUGCUCAUGAUAUAUACAGUUAUAUUAACAGUUAAAAAUAUAUUUUCUCUUCACCUGGCUGAAAUUCAUUAAGAGACCUCUCCAUUAAGAGACCACUUUUUAGCAGUCCCUCGGGCGGUCUCUUAAUACAAUGUCGACUGUAGUUUGUGUUCUGAAUUGAAAUUUGACCUUGAUUUUUAUCUAUUACCAACAUUUCUCUAGCUACAGCCUUCAAAUUUGAAGCACAUGCAUAGUUUUGUGUACAGAAAUUAACUUUGACCUUGAAAUUGAUCCUACUUUCACAUUUCUUUAGCUACAGCUUCAAAUUUGGACCACAUGCACAGUUUUGUGUACCAAAAUGAACUUUCACCUUGAUUUUGACCUUGAUCUAUAGUCUUGAAAUUUGGAACAUUCAAAAAUGGCUCAGUGGUGGGCGCCAAGAUCACUCUGUGAACUCUUGUUUGUAUCUGUAAUAGUAUCAAUGACUUAGUUAGGACACCAUGUAAGAUAGCAGAAGUUGCCAACGUGUACAUAGCAGAUUAAAACUUUAAAAGCAAUAAAAAUUAUUGUUGGAAACACUUCUUAUAUAUGUACUGAAAAAUUCGUCGGACUCAAAAAUAAGCUGGUCUCGAUAAUAAGCCACCAAAUCAUUAUGAAAAUUUAAAAUAAGCCGUAUCUUAUUUUAGGGAUUUCAGGGUAUACAUUUUUAUUAUUGAACUUUUGCAAUUAAAGGUAUAUCAGAAACUUAAAAAGGACCUAAAUACCAUUCUAAGACCUUUAAAAUAAUAUACUAGUAUAACUUGAUCUUGCAAAUUAAAGCCCUGUUAUGGAGCGAAUCAAACAGUACAUUUGUAGAUUUUUUUGAAAGUACAGAAAAAGGGGAAAGGAAGAGCAGUUUGACAAGGACACGUAUUCAUCAAUGUGUUAAAAUUUAGAGACUUAGACUUUAAAAUGGUAAAUUUUUGUAAGUUUCUGCCAUUCCUAGCACCUGUUACAAUAAACUUAAAUAUAACUUCCAAUGUGACAGACAGCUCUACAAAUUCAUAGCUCUAUAUAUUGACUGUGGAAAUAGUUGUUGCAAAAUGAAUACAUUGCGUUCAUAAAUUCAGACUCUGCACUUUGAUGAUUACUGUCCUUGUACAAAAGGCUGUCUCCAGCUAAAACCUUGCUUUGAAAGAGCACUCAUGAUGUCCAAAGCCAGAUUACAUUUAUACAGUUUUAAAUGUUAUUAGUAAUAACCUAUUACUAGUAAUGUAGACCACUUUUUUCCAAUGUAUUGUCUUUAUAAAUGUAUUUAGAGAUUUCAUAAAAAAAUGAGAAAGAAAUUAAAAGCAUGUGCAAUUUCA